AACGAACGCUGGCGGCAUGCCUAACACAUGCAAGUCGAACGAGACCUUCGGGUCUAGUGGCGCACGGGUGCGUAACGCGUGGGAAUCUGCCCUUGGGUUCGGAAUAACAGUGAGAAAUUACUGCUAAUACCGGAUGAUGUCUUCGGACCAAAGAUUUAUCGCCCUGGGAUGAGCCCGCGUAGGAUUAGCUAGUUGGUGGGGUAAUGGCCUACCAAGGCGACGAUCCUUAGCUGGUCUGAGAGGAUGAUCAGCCACACUGGGACUGAGACACGGCCCAGACUCCUACGGGAGGCAGCAGUGGGGAAUAUUGGACAAUGGGCGCAAGCCUGAUCCAGCAAUGCCGCGUGAGUGAUGAAGGCCUUAGGGUUGUAAAGCUCUUUUACCCGGGAUGAUAAUGACAGUACCGGGAGAAUAAGCUCCGGCUAACUCCGUG
rnacentral:rRNA from 1 species